AUUCCCAGUUGAUCCAUAUCAGUGAAUUAAUGCACUGAUUGGGUUCAAGUUCUCAUAACCCAAUCAUUUUACUUCUAAAUUUUCUUGCAUUGUCUUGCACAUGAACUUUUGAAUACCGCAUAUCAAAAUCAUAACAGAUGCUUAAAUUGGGGAAACAAGAUGAGCCAUAUGCCUGCCUCAGCAUAUUGCCUUGAGGGAGAUUCCAAGUUACAGUGUAGGGAGGGGGAAUCUAGAUGGAUCCUGGUGAUUUUCCUGAGUUGAGGAGAUGGAACAGGGAUUCCAGAAAGACCAAGAGAGAGUUUACAGAUCAGAAUUCAGAAGAAAGAAAACUCCAGAGGUCUGCAGAAGGUUCUAGACUCCAGUAGAAUUGAUGACCUGUGUUUCAAAAACCACCAGAGCAGGGGAAAGGACCACAUGAACAAUCCCUGGAGCUUAACUAGAAAAACCUAGUUCAUGAGCAUGGGAUAGAACACUUAGAAGGGUUUUGUCUCAAUAGUGAGAUAAAAUGAGCCUAAAUAUGGCUCUUUCCCCACCUAACAAAAGCUUAAAAACAAGACCUGAAAGGAUCAAACUGUUUCCAAAUAGUUGCAUCUCAGAACACUUGAGAAUGUUUUUUAACAUCUCUAAUACCCAAUUAAAUUCAAAAUGUCUUAACAUUC
rnacentral:lncRNA from 1 species